AGAACGAACGCUGGCGGCAUGCCUAACACAUGCAAGUCGAACGAGACCUUCGGGUCUAGUGGCGCACGGGUGCGUAACGCGUGGGAAUCUGCCCUUGGGUUCGGGAUAACAGUUGGAAACGACUGCUAAUACCGGAUGAUGACUUCGGUCCAAAGAUUUAUUGCCCAGGGAUGAGCCCGCGUAGGAUUAGCUAGUUGGUGAGGUAAAGGCUCACCAAGGCGACGAUCCUUAGCUGGUCUGAGAGGAUGAUCAGCCACACUGGGACUGAGACACGGCCCAGACUCCGUACGGGAGGCAG
rnacentral:rRNA from 1 species